CGGAUUGGAGUCUGNAACCCGACUCCAUGAAGCUGGAUUCGCUAGUAAUCGCGCAUCAGCCACGGCGCGGUGAAUACGUUCCCGGGCCUUGUACACACCGCCCGUCAAGCCAUGGAAGCCGGGAGUGCCUGAAGUACGCGACCGCAAGGAGCGUCCUAAGGUAAAACCGGUGACUGGGGCUAAGUCGUAACAAGGUAGC
rnacentral:rRNA from 1 species